rnacentral:rRNA from 1 species
UACGUAGGGGGCUAGCGUUGUCCGGAAUCAUUGGGCGUAAAGAGCGUGUAGGCGGCCCGGUAAGUCCGCUGUGAAAGUCGGGGGCUCAACCCUUGAAUGCCGGUGGAUACUGCAGGGCUAGAGUCCGGAAGAGGCGAGUGGAAUUCCUGGUGUAGCGGUGAAAUGCGCAGAUAUCAGGAGGAACACCGAUGGCGAAGGCAGCUCGCUGGGACGGUACUGACGCUGAGGCGCGAAAGCGUGGGGAGCAAACAGG